rnacentral:rRNA from 1 species
UGAGGAAUAUUGGUCAAUGGGCGAGAGCCUGAACCAGCCACGUCGCGUGAAGGAAGACUGACCUUACGGUUUGUAAACUUCUUUUGUAGAGGGGUAAUGGCAGAUACGUGUAUUUGCGUGAAAGUACUCUACGAAUAAGCAACGGCUAACUCCGUGCCAGCAGCCGCGGUAAUACGGGGGAUGCGAGCGUUAUCCGGAAUUAUUGGGUUUAAAGGGUGCGCAGGUGGCUAAUCAGGUCAGUGGUGAAAAGCUAUGGCUCAACCAUGGUCUUGCCAUUGAAACCGUAUAGCUAGAGAGGAGACGAGGUAGGCGGAAUGUGUGGUGUAGCGGUGAAAUGCAUAGAUAUCACACAGAACUCCGAUUGCGAAGGCAGCUUACCAGGCUUUAUCUGACACUUAGGCACGACAGCGUGGGGAUCAAACAGG